rnacentral:tRNA from 1 species
UAUAGCUCAGUUGGUAGAGUGUUUGCCUCACAUGCACAAGACCCUGGGUUCUAAUCCCCAGUA